ensembl:lncRNA
UCCAUGGUAAUAAGUAGGAGGCAUUACUUUCAGAGUGAUUUAUGUAUAUGCGGCCCUGGAUAAUUCCUCUUUACUCAGUGAGGCCCAGGCAACCCAAAAGGUUGGGCACCCAUGCAUUAUGAAAAGUAAAGCCAUCAGGUUGAAGGAAUUGACUAUUCCCCUUCACUUGGCCCUCAGGGAGCUUGUAUGAAGUCAAGUAUCCAGUUUAGCUUGGUGGUACUCUGGUCUGCUGGGCUGCUAUUCAAAUUCCUCCUUCAGAAAAACCUACUGCUGGUGGAGCUUUCUGAAAGUCCAGCCUUCUCUGUUUUUAUAGAAAGGCAAAAGAAAGGCAUGCUGAACCCUAGAAUCAUUGUAAAGCAUUGGCCUGAUCUUUUAUUUAGUUGUUAUUAUGCAUAACCUUUACCUCUUCAGAGGCAAACACUGAAAAGUUGUAUGCAAAGACAAAAUGAAUCAUCCCAGUAAACAAAUGCAAAACAAAUGCAAAACAGACUGACCUCUUAGAUCUUGCAAUGACCUACCCUUGUCUAUCUGUAACCCACUCUAUUUCACACAGUUAACAAACUGGAGUGCUUUGAUUCACCAAGGCACUUGCUGCUUUUACCAUUACUUUUGCGUUAGAUCUAAUUGUCCAUUAAGGUGAUUUGGGUUACACCCCAAUUAAAGUCGGAGAUGCCUAACCUUCUGCAGCUCCCAAGAGACCUCUAGCCAAGGUAUCUCUAUGAGUUUUGUAUGACUUUUCUUUUUAACCUUGCUAACAUUUCAGCCUUGCUGGCAGCGACUGAGAUAGUUUCUGUCCUCUGCCUCUUUCUUCUUAUUUUCCCCUACAAGUUUAACGAGGUAUCAAGGUAACCUUGGCAAAAAUGUGCGGCCUACCUUAAGGUUGAUGCUAAACUUCUGUAGUACAUUAUUUUAUGGUUUAAAAGAAAGAUAGUAAGUUUCAGUGUGUACCUGUCAGUACUAAAUGAUUGUUCAUUUCCUGUGAAUUGGGAAUAAAGUAAUAACAUACAUCUGG